GAUGAACGCUGGCGGCGUGCUUAACACAUGCAAGUCGAACGGUGAAGCUCCAGCUUGCUGGAGUGGAUCAGUGGCGAACGGGUGAGUAACACGUGAGCAACCUGCCCCUGACUCUGGGAUAACAGCCGGAAACGGCUGCUAAUACCGGAUAUGCACCAUGAACGCAUGUUCUGUGGUGGGAAAGAUUUUUCGGUUGGGGAUGGGCUCGCGGCGUAUCAGCUUGUUGGUGAGGUAAUGGCUCACCAAGGCGUCGACGGGUAGCCGGCCUGAGAGGGUGACCGGCCACACUGGGACUGAGACACGGCCCAGACUCCUACGGGAGGCAGCAGUGGGGAAUAUUGCACAAUGGGCGAAAGCCUGAUGCAGCAACGCCGCGUGAGGGAUGACGGCCUUCGGGUUGUAAACCUCUUUUAGCAGGGAAGAAGCGAGAGUGACGGUACCUGCAGAAAAAGCGCCGGCUAACUACGUG
rnacentral:rRNA from 1 species